ensembl:lncRNA
GUUUGGGAUUGCAAAAAAAAAAAGAGCUGCAAAGGAAAAUCCCAGCAGCCAAUAUGUUUUGUGCAUUUCAUGUUGUCCCCAGAGGAACUCUCGAACCAGCUGUCAGAAUGCAAUCAAUACGCAUGUGCAUGUCAAAAACAAUCAGGGGAGUUCUGUUGCAAUCACGGUGAAGAGUUAACACUGCCCUGUGUUCUUGGAACGCUAACUCAUGCACGUGUGACUUACCGGCAAUUUCUCUAAUAAACUCCAAAAGGAUGGACGGCCUCGCCUCAGCGCUCUGAUGUGGACUUUUUACUCCAAACACAAUCUGGUUGGUUUGGCAAAAAUGAUUGUGCAGCUGGCAUCCCACAAUCCCUUGUAAAAAAUGGACACUAUAGGGGUCAACAUUUUGGAGGCACCGCUGUGAUUGCUGCUCAGAUGUCCAGUGUCCAUAGCCUGUACAUUGAAUUCUACAUCAUACUACAUAACAAUACUACAACCAGGCAGGCUACAGUGAGGCACAUGUUGCUGUUUAAGGAGAGCUGGAAGUUGGUGGUCGAGUGCACAUUUCCUGAGGCCAGUUAGAGAUCAUCGGGGAUAGUAGAGACCCACCAGUUCAGAAUCAACUCCUACUCAGUUAAAGGCCCCUGCACUGUCAACAUGUCAGCCCUGGAAGAGCUACAGGAAGAGGUAGGAGGAGUGUUGCACACCCUGAAUCGAAACAAUUUACUGGGAAUCUGUGACUUUUUGAACAUAUCAGGUGUACAAAGAGCAGAUGUUAAAGGAAAAUCACGCAUCUCAUUGGUGACUCACAUUCUGAAGCACCUUGAAAGAGAGGAAGUGGCAGAGCUAGAAGACAACGGGAUGUCAGAGUUAUUACUACUGAAAGACAAAAUUGCAGAUAUGUUAAGUGGCAUCGAUAGUGAAAGGGUACACACUGAACAUGACAUUCAGGAGACAGUGACACAGAAAGAAAUGGAUGAACUGAGUAUUGCAAGUGAACAGCAAAAAUUUGGAGUCAUGCAAACUACUACAGUCAGUGCUGCUGUUAAUGGUUCUGUGCACCAAGCUACUGCAGGCUCUCCAGUAAACACCCAAUCUUCAGCCAAUGCCCAGCAGAAGCCAAGCCCACACUGGCACAAAGAUUUCAAAAUUUCUGGACAAAUAGACAAACCUGGCCAGAGAGAUAAACUUACAUUUUCCAGCCUUGCUCAUCAGAUUGAGAAUGGACUUGGAGGUUAUCCUGAAAUAGAGAUUAUGGAUGCUGUGAUCAGAGCUAUUUCUCCAGGCUUGCAGCUGCGCAGCUACUUGGAGGGAAGACCUCAUCUGACUCUUCCCGCACUAAGGUGCAUUCUGCAUUCACACUUCCAGGAAAGGAGCGCCACCGAGCUCUACAAACAGCUAGCUUCAGAACCACAGCAUAGCAAGGAGACACCCCAAAGCUUUGUAAUGCAGGUCUUAAAUCUAAGACAGAAAGUAUUAUUUGCAUCCCAAGAGUCAGAAUCAGGGCUUAAGUAUGACCCAGCUCUAGUCCAGCAUAUGAGUCUACACACAGUGCUUACUGGUCUCCAGAAUGACAGUAUCAGGAUACACAUGCAGCCCCUUCUGCUAGAUACUGAAAACUCAGAUGAGCUUUUGUUAGAGAGGUUAAACAUUGUCUGUGCAAAUGAGGCAGAACGAAGAAAUAAAAAGAGGUAUAGCACCCCGCUACAAGUCUAAGUUUGGUCCAGACAGAGGAUCCACCACCUACAAAAUGCUCAGUGAAAGAAGUUAG